ACCUAGAAUUACAAGUGACUAGGAGAGCUUAACUGAGCUCACAACCUCGUUCUCUUCUGUGAUCUAUAAAUAUAGAACUCUACUCACCAACUAUGUUCUCCUUUAUGUCGGCAUACCCCCAGCCCCUCAGGAUCUAUGCUCAGAGGAAAAGAGAACUGGAGGCCAACUCAGCAGCCAGCCACUCAGACACUGUGAAGAGAUGGAAGAAACAGUGCUGAGAAGCAUAUGACACCAAAAAAUAAAGACCCUGGAACGUG